rnacentral:lncRNA from 1 species
UGUGGCUGGCAGGUUGGGGGUGUUUCCUACGGACAUUGUUCCAUAUGGCCAUAGGCAGCAUAUCUGUUUGGGAGAUAACUAGUGCAGCUUAGUGAAUUUUUUGGGGGUCAUUAGUGGUGCAUUUGGUGAUGAGUGCUGUUUCUGUGUUUCAUCUAAGAGACUACGACACUAAGGUAAAAUUAGCAGGGAUGACAGGUUAUUAUUGUCUGCCUAAAUGGCUGUUGACUGAACUAUUAAAAUACAGUUCAACAAGCUAAAAAUGCUGCAGUUUACAGCUUCAAUAUUUUGGCCCUACGAUUAAUCGCAGUUUUGUUUCAUGUAAAGUGGUUUUCAUGUCACCUGAUAAUUAUAUUUUGUAUAAGAUGGUUGUGGGUUUACUACAAUUAAAAACACCAUUUAGUUACAUUAUAUCUCUUUGAGCAGCAUUUUUUUGCUUUACACUCCUCGAAACUGUUAUAGUAUAUUUGGUAGUUGUAGACAUACAUAUCGUAGACUGCCAUAUGUAUCCGGGGGAGCCUUGCCUCCCAA